rnacentral:misc_RNA from 1 species
CUUGCUGAAGCGCGCACGGCAAG